UACGUAGGGGGCUAGCGUUGUCCGGAAUCAUUGGGCGUAAAGCGCGUGUAGGCGGCCCGGUAAGUCCGCUGUGAAAGUCGGGGGCUCAACCCUCGGAUGCCGGUGGAUACUGUCGGGCUCGAGUACGGAAGAGGCGAGUGGAAUUCCUGGUGUAGCGGUGAAAUGCGCAGAUAUCAGGAGGAACACCAAUUGCGAAGGCAGCUCGCUGGGACGUUACUGACGCUGAGGAGCGAAAGCGUGGGGAGCGAACAGG
rnacentral:rRNA from 1 species